GCAGCCGCCGCGGUAAUACGGAGGGUGCAAGCGUUAAUCGGAAUUACUGGGCGUAAAGCGCACGCAGGCGGUUUGUUAAGUCAGAUGUGAAAUCCCCGAGCUUAACUUGGGGACUGCAUUUGAAACUGGCAAGCUAGAGUCUUGUAGAGGGGGGUAGAAUUCCAGGUGUAGCGGUGAAAUGCGUGGAGAUCUGGAGGAAUACCGGUGGCUAAGGCGGCCCCCUGGACAAAGACUGACGCUCAGGUGCGAAAGCGUGGGGAGCAAACAGGAUUAGAUACCCGCGUAGUCCCUGUCUCUUAUAC
rnacentral:rRNA from 1 species